AACAAGGUGUCAACUGUUAUACCAGAUGUAAUUGGAGUUGUAAUUGCUCUUUAUUCUCAUUAAAAGUGUAUAUUAUCAAAGACAGAUAUGCCAGAUGUAAAAAUUUUGCAAAAAAUGACGGUAAAUAACGAUAUGGAUACAUGUACUUGAUACUUUGCUGCAAAUAAGUUUACAAGUACUCAAGACAUUUCAAUUCCUCCAUAAACAAUACAGUGAUCAGGAAAGAUAUAACUACAGUACUCUAUUAUUAAUUUAACGAGGAGAGGGGAACAAUUUCAUGGAAGCUAAUAAUGAAGAGUCUGAAGAGUUCCCCACAGAUUUUGAGAUUCAAUGUCUUAGUAAAUCCUGCAUCAACAUCAGCAUAUAAAAGCCCCUGAAACUACAGAGCAGCAUGACAGUGCCUUUAGAAGACUUCUUUGAAUUUACAUAGCUAAACAGGAUCCUUAAAUCAAGGACACAACUCUUGCUCCUUAGACUUAGUGAGAAAAAUCCAUUCAUCUAUCUAUUAAAAGCUGGAAACUCAGACUGUCUGCAGAACCUUAUUAAUUUUUCUAAUUGUCAAGUUAAACUUUGACAUUUGCCAUGAAUAUUAUUCAAAUGACACUCUUAUGGACAGGCAGAAUAUACAUUGAAGAACAUGUAUUUUUAUAAUUUCAAAAAUCACAUUGUACAAGUUUCUAAACAAUGUAUGAAUAAAAAGUAAAUUUUAUGAAUAAAUGAUAAUAAUAAUAUUAAUAAAAAAGUUUUAUCUU